AAAAAUAAUGCUCUGGUGCUACUUGUCGUGGUUAAUAUAUAUUUCUAUUUAUUUUCUUCUGUUUACGCGAAAUACAAUCUGCAAGAACAAGGGAUAUGGCGGAGGAAUGCUUUUUAAGCAUCUUGGCGAUGAGCUGUUUACCUUCUGGAUAUUUGCAAUCUCAUUUGCAAAAGAUAUGACACACACACUGCCACUUUAAGGUAUUUCUUUUCUGAGGAAUUAUGUAGCAAAACGAAGAGGAGCCGUGCAAAAUUUCGGGCAGCUGUUUCUUGCAAGUUCAUGGGUACGAAGGUCGAUGAGGGUCAAUGUUCUGCAACAUGAACCAAUGUCAUUAGUGUACGGUGAUGACGAUGUUGUGAAAUUAGGUUGGCUAGGAUUCCAACAAUGAAAUGAUGAAAAACAUCCUCAUCGAAUACGAUAUAGCUCUAUUUUAUGUUGCUGUACAUAAUUUUUUUAGAUUUUAGCAUCUAUAUAAUUGGAUUCAUCUUAUGCAUUUGUUUAAUUACCAUUAUAAUUACCAUUUAUAAUAGUGGUAUUCAUCUAAACCGAUAACUUUAUCAAGCAGAUAAUCUUAUAAAAUUACGCACUCUGUUACAUGAACGACCCACACUAUCUUUUCGUUUACACAUGCAACAAUAGUCGUGGUUUCUUUGGUUAUAGAGCUCAGUAUCACUAACUUUAUAUUACUAGCACGAGGAAAAAGAAAUUUUAGAAAC